UACGUAGGGGGCAAGCGUUGUCCGGAUUUAUUGGGCGUAAAGAGCGUGUAGGCGGCCAGAUAGGUCUGUUGUGAAAACUCGAGGCUCAACCUCGAGACGCCGAUGGAAACCAUUUGGCUAGAGUCCGGAAGAGGAGAGUGGAAUUCCUGGUGUAGCGGUGAAAUGCGCAGAUAUCAGGAAGAGCACCCGUGGCUAAGGCGGCUCUCUAGUACGGUACUGACGCUGAGACGCGAAAGCGUGGGGAGCGAACAGG
rnacentral:rRNA from 1 species